CCUAUCAGGUCUACCCUCAAUUUCCUAUCUGCUAUCUCCACGGCACAUGCCCUGUAGAUAACCUCUCCUAGCAAUGUCUCCCCCCCAGCGGUAGAUACAAGCAACAAUGAAUCAAGUCUAUCAGGUGAUACACAAAUUUUGGAAGCAAGAACAUGUGAAACAAAAGAAUGUGAUGCACCAGUGUCAAACAAAACAUGAGCAAUGUGGCCAGAGAUAAUAUACAUACCAUGUACCACGUCCGGGUCUGCGUCGGCAUCCUUCUGGGUAAGGUUGUAAACUCUGCCCUGGAUUGGAGGCCUUCUUUGAUUCUGGUUCCUCGGGCAUUCCCUUGCAUAGUGCUGGGCACUGCCGCAUAUGCGACAAGUGUUGCUGAGGUGGUAGCAGGGUCGGUCCCCGUGAUCCCUGCCGCAGUGCUGGCAGAUCUUCCCACGUGCUGCCCCCGUAGCCUGAGGAGGGGCCUGGAUGGCGGGUCUGGGCCUCUUACUGGGUUGGACAGGCGCGGUAGGUGCUGGCCUGCGGAGCGGGGCUGAGGGUCGGGAACUCCCCGCUAGCUGAGGGUGGGUGUCGAAGCUCCUUUCUAUGAUCUACGCCUUUGCUAGGACUGCUGAAUAUGUCUCGAGCUCCAUUACCAGUAAGUGCUGUCUGAUCUCCGGGCGGAGACCCCACUAGAAUUUCCUGGCCUUUCGGCCCUCAUCCAUCAAUGUCUCCGGGGCAUAUCGGCCCAGCUCCAGGAACUUACGGGCAUACUCUGACACUGUCAUGUUUCCCUGGACCAAUUGAGCAAACUCCAUUUCCUUCAGGUGUUGGAUGUGUUUAGGGAGAUACUCCGCGUGGAAGGCCGCUAAGAACUGCUCCCAAGUAGCUGGUGUAGGCAGG
rnacentral:lncRNA from 1 species